UACGUAGGGUGCAAGCGUUGUCCGGAAUUAUUGGGCGUAAAGAGCUCGUAGGCGGUUUGUCGCGUCUGCUGUGAAAACUCGGGGCUUAACUCCGGGCCUGCAGUGGGUACGGGCAGACUAGAGUGUGGUAGGGGAGACUGGAAUUCCUGGUGUAGCGGUGGAAUGCGCAGAUAUCAGGAGGAACACCGGUGGCGAAGGCGGGUCUCUGGGCAGUAACUGACGCUGAGGAGCGAAAGCGUGGGGAGCGAACAGG
rnacentral:rRNA from 1 species